rnacentral:rRNA from 1 species
GACGAACGCUGGCGGCGCGCUUAACACAUGCAAGUCGAGCGAGAACCGGCCCUUCGGGGCCGGGGAAAGCGGCGAACGGGUGAGUAACACGCGGGUAAUCUGCCCUUGGUACCGGGAUAGCCCGGGGAAACCCGGAUUAAUACCGGCUGGCCCUUUGAAUUCGCGGCUGCAUAGGAACAGGUAGCUUCGGCCUCCGGCCAAGGCUGAGCCCGCGGCGGAUUAGCUUGUUGGUGGGGUAACGGCCUACCAAGGCGACGAUCCGUAGCUGGUCUGAGAGGACGAUCAGCCACACUGGGACUGAGACACGGCCCAGACUCCUACGGGAGGCAGCAGUGGGGAAUCUUGCGCAAUGGGCGAAAGCCUGACGCAGCGACGCCGCGUGAGGGAAGAAGGCCUUCGGGUUGUAAACCUCUUUCAGGAGGGACGAAGCCACUCGGGUUAAUAGCCCAGAGGGUGACGGUACCUCCAGAAGAAGCCCCGGCUAACUACGUGCCAGCCGCCGCCGUAA